rnacentral:rRNA from 1 species
CGGCUUAGUUUCACUCGUCGUAUAGGUCAGAAGUGCCGACUUAGUCUCGCUCGUCGUAUAGGACAGAAGUGCCGGCUUAGUUUCGCUCGUCGUAUAGGACAGAAGUGCCGGCUUAGUUUCGCUCGUCGUAUAGAACAGAAGUGCCGGCUUAGUUUCACUCGUCGUAUAGGACAGAAGUGCCGGCUUAGUUUUACUCGUCGCCAGACUUUCCCUAUUACCAGACUUUCACUCAUCGAAGAGUUUAUCUUAAUAGCUGGUCUACUCCUCAUUCUGAAACUGUGGAAGUAGACCCCAAGUCCCAAGGGGGAAAUUCGGACAUAACUUCCCAUUUUCCCAAUGGAUGGUUCCAAGUGCGCUCCUCUAGGUUCAAGUUCGAUUACGUUCUGGGUCUCGGGGAUACCUAUUCUAGGGAUUCUAAGGAUCGAGUUGUGUGCUAAGACACCGGUCUAACCUACCAUGUGAAAAGUCGUCACCACCUUUACAAAGGCUUAGAGUCAUACUCCCUUGCUCGGACUCCCUUGAUUAAUUCGGGCGUGCGGUUCGCUACUCGUUCAAACUCUUUUACGUCAACAAGUUCGUCUAGGAACUAGUACAUCUGUUUAGGGUGCGUGUCCCACAUUGGAAUGUCGUCAACGCUGGCAGCAUAAAAUAUUAUAGUAGGGGUUUGGUUCAUUCCAUAUAGCCAAGAAUGUCGUUUGUUCUAAAUAGUUGGGGUCGGUUUGGCCUAUACCGGCGUCUACUACAAAAAUUGUCUUUUGCUACGAAGCUAGUCUUUUGAAACGUGGUUCUCACAUUACCGUUACCUGUAAGUUAGGACUUCAUAGUCUUCCAACCACUUGUUCCAAGACAACGGCAGUCCGCUGGCUAUGUAGGGAAGGCCUGACUGGUGUUUCCCCCGUUGGUUUCACUUCCACGACUAGAUCCACGAAAUCCUGUCCCUUUAAGAUCAACGUGGCAGCCUCCAGCAAGAUUCAAACCGCUUGGAAUGAUACCGCCAUUACGUAGAAUACCGGUUGCAAAAGGAUUAAUACCGUUGGUUCUUAGUCAUGAACUUAACUCCUACGAUCUUCUAUCGACCAUGUCUUCGGGCCUUCUCGAGUUAGUUAGCUUUCCGUGUAAGGGUAGGUUGUAGAUGUCGGAACCCCAAGAAAAUAAACUCGAGAAAACGACGACACUUUGUACCCUCGACGUAACACGACGUUACAGUCUAGAAGCGGUGGCCUAGGACGGAGGUUAAAAAGAAAGUCUUUCAGGGUUCCUCCGACCGAAGACGGAAACCGAUAACGUAGGCCUAGGAAAAAGAGCUGGUUUUCGUUCUCUGUAAGAUCCUACACUGAACUAUUUACUCCCAGUCCUAAACAGCCACAAUCUAUUCCGCGGUCGACGAUAGUUACUCCUCCUGUGUCUCAGACCAAACAAUGACUUAAAAGACAGAGUUGACUUUCUUCUUUUCCUCUACGUACGACGGUUCAAUAGUCGUCUAGAACGUUCGAACGUCUGACUAUAACAUCUCCGACUCUCUUCUGUGAGCAACUCCUACCCCAAGUCAAAUCCCCUGUACCUACAUGGUCGUUCAAGAUUACUACACGGUCCAUGAAGUAGUUUACGGGACUCUCCCCGUAGCAACAGUCCAAACGAUUGUGGUGGUCCGUCCAGUCCGUAUAUGCUCCUCUCCCACUACUUCUUAAACGUCGUCGAACUUUUACGUAUAAUGAGGUGCUCCAGGUGGUAACUUUGUAGACUCUGAUUACAUUAAUUCGCAAGGCUAUUACUACGAAAUUCCCAGGCACUUUUGAAAUUGGUGUCACUGCGGCUACGAUACUUACCCGGUUGUCUGGCGGAACCUACGAAAAAACUACCAGAUACGUUUAUACGGGCCGUAUCAUCCAAACUUCAUGCUCCCUAAAACUUCUUACGACUAUAUGAAUUGAGAGGUUUACACUAGACGAGAAACUCAAAACUGGCACUACUUCUUAUAAAACGACGACGACCCCAGAGUUUCUUUUAGUUUUAUAAGCUUAAACUACGAGAAAAUUUACUAGUACAACUAUAAGUAAUAGGAUAUCAUCUCUACGGAUCGUUCAGGUUCGAAUCAACACAGACAACCUUGUUGAUAUAUUUCUUGAUGAACCGUAGUUGUCUGAUACUACCGUGACAAGUCGAUACCCUACGUUCGUGACCGGUUCCCAAGUGUGUCAAAUGUCUCGUAGCCUUUUCUCGAACCAGACACUCAAAGAGUCUCCACCUAGGUUGAUCUAACCGUUCACCCUCACUGCUAACAACGCACUUUCAAACCUUAUAAUUGGUCUUUUUAUCGCACCUGUGUUAGUCUUUACACCGGUUGCAUACGACACAUGUCAAGAGCGGCAUGAGGAGAGCAUACAAUCGGAAACCGAGUCGACUAAUGUUCUGUAUGACAAUACUAGACUCCGUAUGUUCCUAGGGGACCACAUGGUAAAGACCUGUACCCUUUCGACAGUCGAUACAUUCUAAGAACCUACGUCUUUGCGAAUAUAGACGCAGUUGACUGUUAUGGAACUUCUAUACCCUAGAGUUGGCCUGAUUAGGAUUACCUAAUAGAUGAUUACGAACGUCAGACUGUAACUCACCAGUAUGGUUGCUCUUCUUAAAACAUCCGAAUAGGCAAGUGCUACCUAUGUAUUGCACGCCAAGACUUUUGUUACUUCAUAUAAGAAUGAUAUUUUCGAAAGGGUACGGUUAUUGAAGGGUAUUCAAACCAAGGUAACUGGGUUAUUGGCCUGUUCUCUGCUUACUACUAUUAGUCGUCAAACACAGCUCGCAAACGACCUCUCCUUCCAGUUUAUACCACCAUCGGCGGUUGAGAUCACCCUCGUAGUUUCAGGAACUCGAACAAACUUGUUAGACAACUCGUUCAAUGUCCUACUCUUAUAGAUUGACCGACACCAACGGUACAACGAAACCGCUGGCAUACAAAGUAGUUCGUAAGACGGAACGGUUGUUGCUUCACGGUUCUAUAUAGUUUCCGUCUCUGUAGUUUUCGGCACCUUUUUGUGUGAAGGCGUCAACUUCGUUGGAUGUUAAGACUGAUAACUACAAACGAGCUUUGGGGGAUACUUCACCCGCUGACCUCCCCCACUUUCCGGAGUCGAUGAGACUUUCUAUUUGAAACAUUCCGCGAAACUGUAUCAUCAGUCGUAGAGUUGCUCCCGGAUCCCGAUCCAAAGACAUGUCUAAAUCCCCGAAGUUUACGGCACAUAAAUGAAAACUCGAUCUCGGAAUGUACGAUACAAAUGGGCUAGACUAGGCGUAGAGUGCCCUUAGCUGCGUCAAAACUACACGUUACUGAUUGUCAGAUCAUACUACCAGCCUCGUUUUGACGUCUUCCACUGUAACAACAGACUUCCUCAAAUAGUACGUAGGACUACACACGCUCACUACGUUGCUCCCAAACACAUACGGUUAAAAAAAACAUCGGGGGAAUAAACUUAUCUCAUUAUAUAUAUAUACUAAUGACAUGUAUUGUUUUACGGACGGCUCAGGUCUUUAAGACACAGCUUGUCUUCUUUUUACUUACUAAACCUGAGCCGCUACGUUAUCAUAUACAUACUCACAACCGACGGUAACUAUCAAUACAUUAAGUGUAUAAAGACAGAACGCGCUGGUUGUUUUUGG